rnacentral:tmRNA from 1 species
GGGGGCGAAAUGGUUUCGACCGGGCAAGUUGACGGAUAGGUGGCGUGCCGAGGUCGCCAGGAGGCCUCGUAAAACACCUGGCACAACUUUACAUGCUAACACUCAGUUCAGCAUGGCAGCCUAAGUAGCUGCCCGUCAAUCCGCCAACGCCUGCUAGGCGGGGCGACGGUAUGCAGCAGGCUGGUCGCGACGCGCUGCUCGGCCGCGUCGCGACGAGAACUUGUCGAGCUGGUCCUUCGGGCAGCCUGUCGAUCGGCGGCCUGCGGGAUGACGACAAACGAACGACUACGCACGUAGAAGCCUAUCCUGAAGUGCUCCGGGACGCGGGUUCGAUUCCCGCCGCCUCCAAUU